rnacentral:rRNA from 1 species
CACAAGCGGUGGAUGAUGUGGUUUAAUUCGAUGCAACGCGAAAACCUUACCCACCUUUGACAUGUACGGAAUCCUUUAGAGAUAGAGGAGUGCUCGAAAGAGAGCCGUAACACAGGUGCUGCAUGGCUGUCGUCAGCUCGUGUCGUGAGAUGUUGGGUUAAGUCCCGCAACGAGCGCAACCCUUGUCAUUAGUUGCUACAUUCAGUUGGGCACUCUAAUGAGACUGCCGGUGACAAACCGGAGGAAGCGGGGAUGACGUCAAGUCCUCAUGGCCCUUACAUCCCGGGCUACACACGUGCUACAAUGGCAGGUACAGAGGGCUGCAAAGCCGCGAGGUAGAGCGAAUCCCAGAAAACCUGUCUCAGUCUGGAUUGAAGUCUGCAACUCGACUUCAUGAAGGCGGAAUCGCUAGUAACCGCGAAUCAGCAGGUCGCGGUGAAUACGUUCCCGGGCCUU